GGAGUCUAGCAUGUGCGCGAGUCAUUGGGAUAUGACUAAACCUAAAGGCGCAAUGAAAGUGAAGUUCAGCCUUGCGCUGACCGAGGGAGGAUGGGCGGUCGUUACGGCUGCCGCCUCGCACUCCCGGGGCGUCUCAUUCUCAUUGCGAGAAGAGGCGCACCAAGAGCGUACACGCUGGGACCCGAAAGAUGGUGAACUAUGCCUGGUCAGGACGAAGUCAGGGGAAACCCUGAUGGAGGUCCGUAGCGAUUCUGACGUGCAAAUCGAUCGUCGGAACUGGGUAUAGGGGCGAAAGACUAAUCGAACCAUCUAGUAGCUGGUUCCCUCCGAAGUUUCCCUCAGGAUAGCUGGCGCUCGUAGCGCACGAGUUUCAUCCGGUAAAGCGAAUGAUUAGAGGCAUUGGGGUCGAAACGGCCUCAACCUAUUCUCAAACUUUAAAUGGGUGAGAUCUCCGGCUUGCUCGAACUAUUGAAGCCGCGAGACUCGAAUCAGAGUGCCAAGUGGGCCAUUUUUGGUAAGCAGAACUGGCGCUGUGGGAUGAACCAAACGCCGAGUUAAAGCGCCUAAAUCGACGCUUAUGGGAUACCAUGAAAGGCGUUGGUAACUUAAGACAUCAGGACGGUGGCCAUGGAAGUC
rnacentral:rRNA from 2 species